rnacentral:rRNA from 1 species
CAAUAGCGUAUAUUAAAGUUGUUGCAGUUAAAAAGCUCGUAGUUGGAUUUGUGGCUGUCACGGGCGGCCUAUCACUUAGUGUUAGUGCUUGCCUGUGUCGCCAUCCUUGGGUGGAGCCCGUGUGGCAUUAGGUUGUCGUGCGGGGGAUGCCCAUCGUUUACUGUGAGAAAAUUAGAGUGUUCAAAGCAGGCUUAUGCCGUUGAAUAUGUUAGCAUGGAAUAAUAAGAUAGGACCUCGGUACUAUUUUGUUGGUUUGCGCACCGAGGUAAUGAUUAAUAGGGACAGUUGGGGGUAUUCGUAUUUCAUUGCCAGAGGUGAAAUUCUUGGAUUUCUGAAAGACGAACUACUGCGAAAGCAUUUACCAAGGAUGUUUUCAUUAA